GGGCGGAGACAUACUUGGGUUCUAUAGGCUCCAAAUCAAGCUUGAUCAGCACGUGGGACCUCAAAUUAGGUCCCAUCCUCAACAUCAGUGGUCCCAAUAGCUGUCGGGACUCUCUCAGCAAUAGUUGCACCAAUGGUAGCCAAUGCACUUAAAAAUGGAUCAGAAGACGGGGUCAUACUACUGUUCAUCCCAGUAGCAUUAGCGGCUCUCAAAUUAUCAUCCCCCGCUGCCAUAUGUUGGACCCUCUUCUCACGGUCCCUUUCACUUUAAAGACUCUCUCUUGUUGCAAUCUCAACAUCUUCAUCCUAUGUUCUUCUCUUCCUCUUUUUGUUCUUCUUUCUCUUCCUACCUCCUUCAUCAGCUUUAACAUUACUCGCAGGGGUUGAACCUCCAACUACCCAAAUGACUAGUAUCUUCUCUUAUACUAAGAUCUCCUCUAUGAUAUGUAUCGAGGUGAGUGGCCUAGUGUAUAGAUCAUCAACUUCCUUUUUGAACUCAACCAACUCACCCAUUAUAUCUGCUAAAUUUUG
rnacentral:lncRNA from 1 species